CAUACCGCGUGGGUGAAGAAGGCCUUCGGGUUGUAAAGCCCUUUUGUUGGGAAAGAAAUCCUAUCGGUUAAUAACCGGUGGGGAUGACGGUACCCAAAGAAUAAGCACCGGCUAACUUCGUGCCAGCAGCCGCGGUAAUACGAAGGGUGCAAGCGUUACUCGGAAUUACUGGGCGUAAAGCGUGCGUAGGUGGUGGUUUAAGUCCGUUGUGAAAGCCCUGGGCUCAACCUGGGAAUUGCAGUGGAUACUGGAUCACUAGAGUGUGGUAGAGGGAUGCGGAAUUUCUGGUGUAGCAGUGAAAUGCGUAGAGAUCAGAAGGAACAUCCGUGGCGAAGGCGGCAUCCUGGGCCAACACUGACACUGAGGCACGAAAGCGUGGGGAGCAAACAGGAUUAGAUACCCUGGUAGUCCACGCCCUAAACGAUGCGAACUGGAUGUUGGGUGCAACUUGGCACCCAGUAUCGAAGCUAACGCGU
rnacentral:rRNA from 1 species